CCCACCCCCACCCAGAGCUGGUCGUUCGCGCGCGCGGGUGGGCGGGCGUAUUCCCGCCACGCGCCUCCACGAAGUCACGGAAGGUGGUUCACGUGGCAGCCAGUCUGUGCCUUCGCGGCUCACUCCCGUCUGUUUUUUACCACCUAAAGCAGGGGGUCCUUGUUUGCGUCUUUAUUCUUUUGGGGGGGGGGGUGGUUAGAGGGAGAAGGGACGUGGAGAGGUCACUUGGAAAGUUUGCUCUUUCCGCCGCUUACUGCCACUACAGCCACCAGAGAUGAGAUUCUCCCGCCCUCAGCUGGAAGCAAGGAAUUUGCACUGCCAGGGCUUUUGCUCCACGUUUCCUGUUUAUGUUGUGGAGAUGGGAAUUUUAGAAACAUGCCACCGAGCAGGCGGGGAGGGAGAGGCCUUUGCGCAAUCCUCAAGAGGCGCCUUGGGUUUCGGGGCUGGUUGAGUCGGAGGUGAUCAGCCUGGGCUUCCCCCGAGCGCCCGGGGAAGCUGGAUUCCUGCGAGGACGCGGCAUCCCCAAGAUCCUUCUGAACGGGAGUGGGUCGGUCCGGGGAGGCCCGCCCGCCUCGGCUGGCUUUUCGUGCAGCGGUCCCAGGAUUCCCAGGCAGCCGAAGCAGGUGGUAAAUUUCCGAGUUCCUUGCCGAAACAUGAAAUGGAAUGAAUUAGUGCUCUCAUCAUCCAAGUCCCUUGCUUCUUUGUUACACCUCUUAUUAAUCAUUUUGAAUUUUGCCUGAUGUGACCCACAAGGAGCCUAUUUUGUCACUUGCGUUUUGGGAAUCUCUAUGGUUUGGAAAUCACCGUGUUUGCUUAUCCUUAAUCACUAUUAAUUGAGGGUUUGAACUUAACGUUUACGUAUAAGUUUUCUUAGCAAAAUGUCUGGCGUAUAGUAUUAGUGAAUAAAUAAUACACUUUCGCCCCACUACAAGCAGGAAACUGCAGUGACUGUAAGUCCAGAGGGUUGGCGUCUGCCACCAAAGAGCCUAGUUCCCCUUCCUGCCACUUUCUUCAUCAGAUUGAGAGGGUUGCUCCGCGGUGGAAGAAAGGAAACUGAAGGAAUACGAGGACAAAAUGGAGCUGAUUACCAGUGAGAAGACUGAGCCCUUGUUCCUGCAGUGGGCUGUCAUGAGAGAGACCAGCCGCCUGACCCGGGCCACUGCAGGGGCUGUCAUGCAGCCAGCCAUCUGGCUGGAGGUUGGCCGGUUCUCCAGGUUGUACCUCACUGAUUCUCGGUAAGUCCCAAGCCCCCACCAGAGCCACAAUCUCGAAUCUGUCCCCUACCCUCACUUGGAUUGCAAGUCUACUCUGGUGCUGGACUAGAUGGGGAUGCUAGAGAGAGGACAUGACCAUGAGCAAGUAAACUAAGGAG